GACGAACGCUGGCGGCGUGCUUAACACGUGCAAGUCGAACGGAAAGGCCCUGCUUUUGUGGGGUGCUCGAGUGGCGAACGGGUGAGUAACACGUGAGUAACCUGCCCUUGACUUUGGGAUAACUUCAGGAAACUGGGGCUAAUACCGGAUAGGAGCUCCUGCUGCAUGGUGGGGGUUGGAAAGUUUCGGCGGUUGGGGAUGGACUCGCGGCUUAUCAGCCUGUUGGUGGGGUAGUGGCUUACCAAGGCUUUGACGGGUAGCCGGCCUGAGAGGGUGACCGGCCACAUUGGGACUGAGAUACGGCCCAGACUCCUAUGGGAGGCAGCAGUGGGGAAUAUUGCACAAUGGGCGGAAGCCUGAUGCAGCAACGCCGCGUGCGGGAUGACGGCCUUCGGGUUGUAAACCGCUUUCGCCUGUGACGAAGCGUGAGUGACGGUAAUGGGUAAAGAAGCACCGGCUAACUACGUG
rnacentral:rRNA from 1 species